GCCUGGGUGGCUCAGUCGGUUAAGCUUCUGACUUGGGCUCAGGUCGCGAUCUCAUGGUUCGUGAGUUCAAGCCCCACAUCAGGCU
rnacentral:tRNA from 1 species